CAAUUUGGUUGAGAUAAAUUAUUUGUAAAGCUAAAUCCAAUUGGGUUGAUGCAAAACGACUGCACACGCUGAAAUCAGUGUGACUCUCAGCAUGGCCGUGAGUCUCAAACAGCCUGGAUGGAGUGCAAAUGGUCCCUGUCCAGCUACAGGAUGUCAGUUACGGGAUUAGGGUCAGCCACGCUAGCAAACUCAAAGUGAAGAUGACCCAACCCCAUGAGUGAGGCAAACCCUUUGAUGUGCUAUCCCUUGAAAUUCUCUCAAAGAUUGCAGCCAGCUACUUGGACGGGUAUGUUGCUUCCUAGAUGAAGAACUAGCUGAACCGCCUGGCCUAAUGAGUGCUGCUCGAUCAUGUUAAAUGCAGCUGGUAUGCCAUCCUGAGUGCUCUUCAGGCCUGUUCUGUCCAAUACCUUCAUUGAAGACCUGCCUGAUGGCAUGGAGUGCACCUUUGGUAAGUUUGCUGAGGGCGUUGCAUCAGAUCAGCACUAUGUUUGGAGUUCAGAGCUCAUUAGGAUUGGGGUGAAGGUAUAAGGGUUAGGUUUAUUAGGGUUAUGCUCAAAGUGACUGUUAGGGAAGGCCAAGGCAAAGGCAACAACACCCAAGGAAACACCAAAACCGAGGGCAAAGGCAUAGACAACAACCAAGGGAAGGCAACGUCAAAGGCAAAGGGAAAGCAAAGGUAUGGAGAACACCAAAGAGAAGACCUCCUCAGAGGCCAGGCCCAAAGAGAGGGCCUCAGAGAACAAAACAGAGACCAAAGAGAACACCGGGGCAAGGCCAAAAUGGAGGGCGAGGUCCAUGAGAACGCUGCAGGGAAGGCCGAUGCAGGAGGCCAAGGGCAACGGCCAAAGAGAAUGCAGCACAGAAGGCCAAAACCAAAGGCCAAAGAGAACGCUGUAGGGAAUGCCAAAACAAGAAGGCCAAAGGCAAAGGCCAAACAGAACGCAACAAGGAAUGCCAAAACCAAAGGCCAAAGAGAUCGUCGCAGAGAAUGCCACAACAGGAGGCUGAAAGGAGCAUGGCAAAGAAGGCCAAGGGCAAAGGUCAAAGAGAACAUGGAAGGGAAUGCCAAAGAGAAUGUGGCAAAGGCGGUCAAGCGCGAUGGCCAGGAGAACGUGGCAUGGAUGGCGAAAACCUAAGGCCAAAUAGAACACUGCAUGGAACACCAGAAGUGAUGGCCAAAGAGAACGCAGCAGGGAAUGCCAAAACCGGAGGCCAAAAAGAAUGCCGCAAAGAAGGCCAAGGGCAAUGGCCAAGAGAACAUGACAUGGAAUGCAAAAACAAGAGGACAAGAGAAUGCAGUAGGGAACGCCAAGGGCAAAGGGAAGGAGAACACCGCCGUGAAAGGCCAGAGCCAAGGAGAACGUGCAAAGAAUAGGACGGGCAGCCUUUGGGGAACCCUGAAGUGCAGAAAGGAGCUCUAGGAACCCUACCUUGUGUCUCACUCAGUAAGGGGUAAACACUGGUGGGUGUGCAUUGUCCUUACCUGCUGGGCAGACAAUUACCAGUCAGCAAAGUGGAGUUCCAGGGCAUCCCAGGAAAUGCAGCUUUCGGUUCCUUGCUGUUCCCGUGAAGAUCCGCACAUCUCUCCGUGCAGUCAUUACAGCACUCGGGAGCGCUGCAGCUCUCUGCUGCCACCUGUUGGACACAAUGCAGGAAUGAAGGCGCUGCCCCGCAUAUGUAGGGCUGCACCCUGCGUGCAUUGCUCUACAGGUGACACAAGGGAGUAUUAGGAAUAUAAUGAAUGCUACGCAUAGGUUUGAAGUGACAAUUAGCUUAACAAUUGUUUUCCACACUACGAUUAGGAUUAAGGGUACUGUGACAGAAAACAAGCAGCAUUAUUUUUAUUGCAGCAUUUAGGUUAAGAGACAUUUUUAAUAUUGGGUUAAUAGUUAGGUUUACAUAUACACUGUGGGUUAACAUAAUUAUCAUUAGAGCUCACAUUAAGCUACAGGUUCAGGUCAAGAUUAACAUUCACGCUGCCUCCCAGCCAAUCCCAGAGAGCCAAAGAAAAAAGGCAAGCUGAACUCCCACCAAAAGCCAAGGUAAAGGCAAAGCAAACAGCCAAGGCGAAGGGCAGGGCAAAAGCAAGGAGAGCACCCAACGGAAAGCCAAGGUGAGGGCAAGGAGACAGCAGCAGGAAAAACCAAGGGCAAAGGCCAAGAGAACGCAGCAAAAAAUGCCAAAACAGAAGGCCGAGGGAACAUGGCAUGGAAUGCUCAGGUCAGGGCAAGGGCUAAGAGAACGUGGCAGGAAGUGCCAAAACAGGAGGCCCAAGAGAACACGGCAAAGAAGGCCAAGGCAGAAGGCUGAGAGAAGGGAGUAUUAGGGAUAUAAUUAAUGCUGUUUAUAAGUUACUUAAUGGGGGUCAGGGGAUGGGAGGAAAAGGUGUGGGGGUUUGGGUAUCAUACAGAUUAGGAAACAAAUAGCAUCUCCUGACAAUUGGGAUGAGAUAUCUGGAGAUCCUGACUGUAGUCAUCCAGAAGAGGAUGACUACAGUCAUCCUUUCUUUUUUAUUAACACAAACCCAGAUCUGCUGGUGAAACAGAAAUGACCGUAAGACCCUGGGGAAGUCAGCAUAGUCGUGAUGUUCCAUUAGCUGCUCCACAGGCCUCACACCACCAAUUAGAGGAGUCCCAACAAUCCUUAAAACCCACUGAGCUGCAAACUGAGAUCAGAAGAGAGGACAUAAUUUAAAACAUGAUAAUGAUGCCCAGCAUGCCCUUAAACAACUCUGCGUGGGUGCAAUUAACACAUGGCACUGUGAAUUACAGCCAUGAGAUGGGAUGAUGGGGGAGAAGACAAACCACAUUUGGAGCCGAGGUUGGAGAUCAUGAGGUGAAAACCAUGAAAGAGGAAACAGCGGCUCAAUCAGAAAGAAAUGGGCUUAAAAAGGGCUGCAAACAGGACCUGCAGAAUGCAGAACCCCUGAACGGAAUAGGGUAUUAACUGUCACCGUGUCCAGAACUGCAGCGCUCAGUCAGCCAAUCAGCAUCAUUAGGGCUCAUUGAAGCAAUCCAGAAGCAAGGGAACUGUGAAAGGAAGGAAUGGGUGUCAGUCCAUCCAUCAACUGCUCAGAGAACAGGAGAGAACCCCUUCAUCUCCCUUAGGACAAGACUGAAGGCACCGUAGGGACACACACAGCAGAUACAGCUGCUCUAAUCCAGCUCAGGAUCUCCCCGGAAAGACAUGGCUCACAGCUCUACAAUAAAGCAGGAAUCCCUCACCCCAUUUAAGGGCUUCCCCCCACACCCCAAAGGAAGCAGUCUCCAAGUUCAGAUACAGGCCUGAAAGCUACCAGUUCUUACAUGGGGUCAAGAUCUCCCCAAAAGAGGAGCUCAGAGCCCUGAAAUUCAGAAAGAACCACUUACCCCAUUCCAAGGACCAAUACUCACUCGCUCCCCCAAAGAAGCAGUUUCCAGGUACAGAUGGCCGCCAGCCCCAAAAUGCAGCUAUGAACCCCCAGCAAAGGGAUAGAUCACAGCCCUCCAAUACAGAAGAACUCACCCCCACACCCUCAAGGAAGCACAGCCAGACUCAGAUGCUGCCCCCUUUGCUUCCCAGCCCUUAAAUGCGGUCAGGGAGGGGAGGAGCCCGUCUCAGCCCCACCCCACAGCCAAAUUGCCAUCAGCUGUGCUCGCAGGGCUGCACCUCCCCAGGUGAAUGGGAGCUGCUGAGUCAUGGCCUGAACCACUGAUUGAUUGGCUGAGGCAGAACUUAGUCAGCUGUGGGAGCACAGGUGGAGUCAAUCCAGUGUGAAUAGAAGGUGGAGCCUGGCUGCAGCUCUCCAAGAUAGCAUUUAAGGGCUGACUACCCCCAGGAAAGGGUCUUUAUUGUAACUUUGGGAUGUUUGUUUUCAGGAUUCACUAUCAGAGCAUCUUAUAAGGCAAUAAGAGUUCAAGAGUCUACAUCGUGGAUGAGUGUGCUGCUUCCCUGAGCACUUCGGAUCCUCAAAAAAGGAAAAAGGAGCAACAUUCCUGGAGGAGCUGGCAAAAAAAGGUAGGCAUUUUGAUUACUUACAUACACAUGGAUAAUAUAGAUAUUUCAGGUUGACUGAUUGCAUCACUACAAAAUCAUGCAUUUUCUUUCAAAAAAAUCCACAUAUACCAGAAAAACAUCCAUUUUCUCUCUGAAAAUCCCCCGUUUACUCAACUAGCAUGCAUUUUCUCUUAGAAAAUACCCCAUCUACCCAAAUGACAAGCAUUCUGAUUACAAAAUCCGAAACUAAAAAAGAAAAUCAUCACUUUCUCAAUGAAAAUUCCACAUUAAAGCAAAAAUCAUGCAUUUCAUCUUCAAAAAUUCUCCAUUUAACCCGAAUGUCAUCAAAUGGCUCUAUGAAAAUUUCAAAUAAAACAUAACAUCAUGCAUUUUCACUUUGAGAACCACCCAAUUAAAGCAAAAAUAAGGCAAUGACUUCACAAAUCCCCCAUUUAGGCAUAAGUCACGCGUUUUCUCUCCAGAAUCCUCCAUUUAACCCGAAAAUCACGCGUUUUCUCUUCGAGAAUCCCCCAUUUAACCGAAAAUCACGCGUUUUCUCUUCGCAAAUCCCCCAUUUAACUCAAAAUUCACGCGUUUUCUCUUCGGAAAUCCCCCAUUUAACCCGAAAAUCACGCGUUUUCUCUUGGAGAAUCUUCCAUUUAACCCGAAAAUCACUCAUAUCCUCUGCGCAAAUCCCCCAUUUAACUCGAAAAUGACGCGUUUUCUCUUUGCAAAUCCCCCAUUUAAGCGAAAAUCACGCGUUUUCUCUUCACAAAUCCCACAUUUAACCCGAAAAUCACGCGUUUUCUCUUCGCAAAUCCCCUUUUAACCGGAAAAUCACGCGUUUUCUCUUCGCAAAUCCACCACUUCACCCGAAAAACACGCGUUUUCUCUUCGAGAAUCCCCCAUUUAACCCAAAAAUCACGCGUUUUCUCUUCGCAAAUCCCCCAUUUAACUCAAAAAUCAUGCGUUCUCUCUUCGCAAAUCCCCCAUUUAAGUGAAAAUCAUGUGUUUUCUCUUCGCAAAUCCCCCAUUUAAGCGAAAAUCACGUGUUUUCUCUUCGAGAAUCCUCCAUUUAUCCCGAAAAUCACGCAUUUAAUCUUCGCAAAUCCCACUUUUAAGCGAAAAUCACGCAUUUUCUCUUCGGAAAUUUCACAUUUAAUUGAAAAUCACG
rnacentral:lncRNA from 1 species